AUGGCGGACAAUCAGCCCAAAUCCAAGCUUAAGCGAAAGAAAUGGGCUGUGGAGGAGAUUCACCGGGAGGAAACCAGGAUUGGGACGACGAAGAGGGAUGACUCCUUACUGCCUGGUGACGUGACGGCUCAGACGGAUCGCUCAGUGAGUCCAGCAGCACCAUGGUGGAAGAGAGAGCAGCUGCCUGCUGCAGAGAGGCUGUGGAUGCUCACACUAAGGUCUGCUCUGCCGUACCUGGACAACCAGCACUGGGAUCUGGUUCCUGAUUUUCCACAGCCAUCUACAAUAAAACCAACAGCAUUGAAGUUAGAAGAACAGCGGUGGUGUGACUUAAAUGAAGAGGUUUCCCCCUUUCCUGAACCUGCUCCUCUCAGGCUCCAAUCCUCCCAGCAGGACCUGUCAGUACACACCAAACCUGUACCAGACCCGCCUGACAGACAGCAGUCACUGCACAGCAGGGAGAGUCACGAUGGUAAAACAACAACAACAACCCUUCAAAGCCUCGCCAAAAAAACACGGCCAUCCCUCCACUGCUGGGAGACGGCUGCACCACCAGUAGGAUCCUCAAAUGUUGGGAGUGAAGCAGGAAGAAAAGGUGGGGAGCAAGGAGAACCACAAGCCGUAACUGUCAACAGGCAGCUUCACACAAACGAGAUGAAGAUGUCUGACAGCCGGGUUUCUCUCCAGAAGGGGAGUGAAAAUAAAAAGGUGGUGGUGAUGGAAGAUAAAGCAGCAGAGGAGGUGCAGGAUGGAGGAGGAGGGCUUCAGAGCUGCCCCAUGUGCCUGAUGGUGUUCCCUGUUGGGUUCACCCAGAUGGACUGUGACGGCCACCUGGCCCAGUGUCUGUCAGAGAUGGACGUGGACUUGACCUGGUAA
rnacentral:lncRNA from 1 species